AGUGAACGCUGGCGGUAGGCCUAACACAUGCAAGUCGAACGGCAGCACAGUAAGAGCUUGCUCUUACGGGUGGCGAGUGGCGGACGGGUGAGGAAUACAUCGGAAUCUACUUUUUCGUGGGGGAUAACGUAGGGAAACUUACGCUAAUACCGCAUACGACCUACGGGUGAAAGCAGGGGAUCUUCGGACCUUGCGCGAUUGAAUGAGCCGAUGUCGGAUUAGCUAGUUGGCGGGGUAAAGGCCCACCAAGGCGACGAUCCGUAGCUGGUCUGAGAGGAUGAUCAGCCACACUGGAACUGAGACACGGUCCAGACUCCUACGGGAGGCAGCAGUGGGGAAUAUUGGACAAUGGGCGCAAGCCUGAUCCAGCCAUACCGCGUGGGUGAAGAAGGCCUUCGGGUUGUAAAGCCCUUUUGUUGGGAAAGAAAAGCAGCAGGUUAAUACCCCGCUAUUCUGACGGUACCAAAAGAAUAAGCACCGGCUAACUUCGUG
rnacentral:rRNA from 1 species